UUGCAUAUCAAAAAAGCGGAGGAAAAGAAACUAACAAGGAUUCCCCUAGUAACGGCGAGUGAAGAGGGAAAAGCCCAAAUUUGUAAUCUGGCUCUUUUAUAAGGGUCCGAGUUGUAAUUUUGAGAACUGUUUUCUGUGCUGGACCAUGUACAAGUCUGUUGAAAAACAGCAUCAUUGAGGGUGAUAAUCCCGUACGUGAUAUGGACUACCAGGGCAAUAUGAUACAGUCUCUAAGAGUCGAGUUGUUUGGGAAUGCAGCUCAAAGUGGGUGGUAAAUUCCAUCUAAGGCUAAAUAUAGGUGAGAGACCGAUAGCAAACAAGUACCGUGAGGGAAAGAUGAAAAGAACUUUGGAAAGAGAGUUAACAGUACGUGAAAUUGUUAAAAGGGAAACAUUUGAAGUUAGACUUGUUAUUGUUGGUUCAGCUUCUUUAUUGAGGUGUAUUCUGAUGAUUAACAGACCAGCAUCAAUUUUUGGGUGUUGGAUAAGGGUUUUGGGAAUGUGGCAGCUUCGGUUGUGUUAUAGACCAUUACUUUGAUACAAUGCUUAGGAUUGAGGAACGCAGUAAGCUUUGUUGCAGAUUUUUUCGGAAGUCUCCUUACUACGGAUGUUGGUGCAAUAGCUUUAAAUGACCCGUCUUGACCC
rnacentral:rRNA from 1 species